rnacentral:rRNA from 1 species
CCAGAGAACUUUCCAGAGAUGGAUUGGUGCCUUCGGGAACUCUGAGACAGGUGCUGCAUGGCUGUCGUCAGCUCGUGUUGUGAAAUGUUGGGUUAAGUCCCGCAACGAGCGCAACCCUUAUCCUUUGUUGCCAGCGGUUAGGCCGGGAAACUCAAAGGAGACUGCCAGUGAUAAACUGGAGGAAGGUGGGGAUGACGUCAAGUCAUCAUGGCCCUUACGAGUAGGGCUACACACGUGCUACAAUGGCGCAUACAAAGAGAAGCGACCUCGCGAGAGCAAGCGGACCUCAUAAAGUGCGUCGUAGUCCGGAUUGGAGUCUGCAACUCGACUCCAUGAAGUCGGAAUCGCUAGUAAUCGUGGAUCAGAAUGCCACGGUGAAUACGUUCCCGGGCCUUGUACACACCGCCCGUCACACCAUGGGAGUGGGUUGCAAAAGAAGUAGGUAGCUUAACCUUCGGGAGGGCGCUUACCACUUUGUGAUUCAUGACUGGGGUGAAGUCGUAACAAGGUAAGCGUAGUGCU